AACAAACGCUGGCGGCGUGCCUAAUACAUGCAAGUCGAACGGGGAAAGUCUUCGGAUGAGUACUAGUGGCGCACGGGUGAGGAACACGUAGAUAAUCUGCCCCUAGGCGGGGAAUAACUGGUCGAAAGAUCAGCUAAUACCGCAUAAGACCACGACUUCUGAGGAAGGUGGGGUUAAAGGCUUCGGCCACCUAGGGAUGAGUCUGCGUCCGAUUAGCUAGUUGGUGAGGUAAGAGCUCACCAAGGCGACGAUCGGUAACUGGUCUAAGAGGAUGACCAGUCACACUGGGACUGAGACACGGCCCAGACUCCUACGGGAGGCAGCAGUAGGGAAUAUUGCACAAUGGAGGAAACUCUGAUGCAGCGACGCCGCGUGAGUGAUGAAGGCCCUCGGGUUGUAAAGCUCUGUUCUUAGGGAAUAAAAAAAUGAAGGUACCUAAGGAGAAAGGACCGGCUAACUUCGUGCCAGCAGCCGCAGUAA
rnacentral:rRNA from 1 species